rnacentral:rRNA from 1 species
CCCUUAGAUGUUCUGGGCCGCACACGCGCUACACUGAAGGAGGCAGCGUGUACUCCUGGAUCGAAAGAUUUGGGUAACCCGCGAAUCUCCUUCGUGCUAGGGAUUGAGGUUUGCAAUUAUCCUUCAUGAACGAGGAAUUCCCAGUAAGUGCAAGUCAUAAGCUUGCGCUGACUACGUCCCUGCCCUUUGUACACACCGCCCGUCGCUACUACCGAUUGAAUGAUUUAGUGAGGACUUCGGACUGGGACCGAUGCGGCUUUCGGGCUGCGCCGGUAUUCUGGAAAGAUGUCCAAACUGUAUCAUUUAGAGGAAGUAAAANUCGUANCA